rnacentral:rRNA from 1 species
GAUGAACGCUAGCGGCAGGCCUAACACAUGCAAGUCGAGGGGCAGCACAGAAACAGCAAUGUUUUGGUGGCGACCGGCGGACGGGUGCGUAACGCGUAUGCAACCUACCUUUAACAGGGGGAUAACGGAGAGAAAUUUCCACUAAUACCCCAUAACAUCGAUCAAGGCAUCUUGAUUGGUUGAAAACUCCGGUGGUUAAAGAUGGGCAUGUGUUGUAUUAGGUAGUUGGUGAGGUAAUGGCUCACCAAGCCUACGAUACAUAGGGGGACUGAGAGGUUAGCCCCCCACACUGGUACUGAGACACGGACCAGACUCCUACGGGAGGCAGCAGGGAGGAAUAUUGGGCAAUGGGGGCAACCCUGAACCAGCCAUGCCGCGUGCAGGAAGACGGCUCUAUGAGUUGUAAACUGCUUUUAAACAGGGAUAAAGCACAGUAUGUAUACUGUGUUGAAGGUACUGUAAGAAUAAGGAUCGGCUAACUCCGUGCCAGCCGCCGCCGUAA